rnacentral:rRNA from 1 species
UACGUAGGGUGCAAGCGUUGUCCGGAAUUAUUGGGCGUAAAGAGCUCGUAGGUGGUCUGUUGCGUCGGCUGUGAAAACCCGGGGCUCAACCCCGGGCCUGCAGCCGAUACGGGCAGACUAGAGUUCGGCAGGGGAGACUGGAAUUCCUGGUGUAGCGGUGAAAUGCGUAGAUAUCAGGAGGAACACCGGUGGCGAAGGCGGCUCUCUGGGACGGUACUGACGCUGAGGCGCGAAAGCGUGGGGAGCGAACAGG